rnacentral:rRNA from 1 species
GAUGAACGCUGGCGGCGUGCCUAAUACAUGCAAGUCGAGCGAACAGACGAGGCGCUUGCUCCUCUGACGUUAGCGGCGGACGGGUGAGUAACACGUGUAUACCGUACCUAUAAGACUGAGAUAACUUCGGGAAACCGGAGCUAAUACCGGAUAAUAUAUUGAAGCGCAUGGUUCAAUAGAGAAAGACGGUGUUGCUGUCUCUUAUAGCGGCAUCCCCGCGGCAUGAGCUAGUUGGUAAGGUAACGGCUUACCAAGGGAACGCUGCGUAGACGAACUGAGAGGGUGGUCGGCCACACUGGAGCGUAGACACGGUCCAGACUACUACGAGAGGCAGCAGUAGGGAAUGUUCCGCAGAGGGCGAAAGCCUGACGGAGCAACGCCGCGUGAGUGAUGAAGGUGUCCGGAUCGUAAUGCUCUGUUACUAGGGAAGAACAGAUGUGUAAUUAACUGUACACGGCGUGACGGUACUUAGUCAGAAAGCCACGGCUAACUACGUG